rnacentral:lncRNA from 1 species
GCAACCUUAUUCAAGCCACUGGAACCUUCAGAUCGAGCCCAAGAGCAGGAUGACACAACAUGUGGACAAGAGCUGUAUUAACUUGAUCACUAGUAUUAACUAGUAUUAAGUAGUAUUAACGUGGUCACCAGUGAAAGGCACUUGCAACAACUGUUCAGUCUGAAAUAUAGGUAGAGAGUGGGGAUGGCAAAGUUGCUUGUAACUUCUGGUACAUGUUUAAUGCACACAGGCAUGGAGGCACAGCUCUAAGGCACUGCACUGUUACUGUAAAGCAUACUUUAAAAAUAUUUAUUGUCUUAAAGAGCAUUUUCUAAUCUUCCCUCUCUCGGUGGAGCGGUGAACAAGAUGCCAUGUCAUGAAGGUUUAAGAUGAUUUUAUUUUUUAUUGCAGAAACAUUUAGAGACCUAAGAAUUUAAACUUAUAAAAGGGAUCUUCUAAGUUGCCUGUUAAUGUGGAAUUUACACUUAAAUCUGAUGAUUGGAUGAUGUUUUACGUUAGGGAAAUACCUUGUUAUCAAACUUCAUAAAGCAGAUGUAAUUAAAGGUUCAAUGUGAGCCAAUCUAGAAGGUUGCAUAGUGUGUGCAAAGAAAGGAGAGACAUCUUAGACCAAUUUUUAUACAGUUUUCAUUUUGCUGAGCUAGAAAGGAGAUAAAGAUUAUUUAUUUUUGUUCGUAUCUUGUACUUUUCUAUUAAAAUCAUUUUAUGGAAUCC